rnacentral:rRNA from 1 species
CUGGCGGCGGCUUACCAUGCAAGUCGAGCGGAAACGAGAAUAGCUUGCUAUUCGNCGUCGAGCGGCGGAACGGGUGAGUAAUGCUUGGGAAUAUGCCUUUGAGUGGGGGACAACAGUUGGAAACGACUGCUAAUACCGCAUAACGUCUACGGACCAAAGGGGGGGAUCUUCGGACCUCUCGCUCAUUGAUUAGCCCAAGUGAGAUUAGCUAGUUGGUAAGGUAAUGGCUUACCAAGGCGACGAUCUCUAGCUGGUUUGAGAGGAUGAUCAGCCACACUGGGACUGAGACACGGCCCAGACUCCUACGGGAGGCAGCAGUGGGGAAUAUUGCACAAUGGGCGAAAGCCUGAUGCAGCCAUGCCGCGUGUGUGAAGAAGGCCUUCGGGUUGUAAAGCACUUUCAGCGAGGAGGAAAGGNUGUUGUUUAAUACGCAACAUCUGUGACGUUACUCGCANAAGAAGCACCGGCUAACUUCGUGCCAGCAGCCGSGGUAAUACGAGGGGUGCAAGCGUUAAUYGGAAUUACUGGGCGUAAAGCGUGCGUAGGUGGUUUGUUAASCAAGAUGURAAASCCCCGGGCUCAACCUGGGAACUGCAUUUUGAACUGGCAAACUAGAGUAUUGUAGAGGGUAGUGGAAUUUCCAGUGUAGCGGUGAAAUGCGUAGAGAUUGGAAGGAACAUCAGUGGCGAAGGCGGCUACCUGGACAAAUACUGACACUGAGGCACGAAAGCGUGGGGGAGCAAACAGGAUUAGAUACCCUGGUAGUCCACGCCGUAAACGAUGUCAACUAGCCGUCUGUGACCUUGAGUCGUGGGUGGCCGCASCUAACGCACUAARUUGACCGCCUGGGGAGUACSGCCGCAAGGUUAAAA